GGGAAUUUUGGACAAUGGGCGAAAGCCUGAUCCAGCCAUGCCGCGUGAGUGAAGAAGGCCUUCGGGUUGUAAAGCUCUUUUAGUCGGAAAGAAAGAGUUGCAAUGAAUAAUUGUGAUUUAUGACGGUACCGACAGAAAAAGCACCGGCUAACUACGUGCCAGCAGCCGCGGUAAUACGUAGGGUGCGAGCGUUAAUCGGAAUUACUGGGCGUAAAGGGUGCGCAGGCGGUCUUGCAAGUCAGAUGUGAAAGCCCCGGGCUUAACCUGGGAAUUGCGUUUGAAACUACAAGACUAGAGUGCAGCAGAGGGGAGUGGAAUUCCAUGUGUAGCAGUGAAAUGCGUAGAGAUGUGGAAGAACACCGAUGGCGAAGGCAGCUCCCUGGGUUGACACUGACGCUCAUGCACGAAAGCGUGGGGAGCAAACA
rnacentral:rRNA from 1 species